AGGGGGAGCGCUGCCGGGCUGCAGGCGAUCGUUUUGGCGCAACGGCAUCGGCGGCGUCACGGCCCCAGCGUUCCACCCGGGCUCCUGCAGGACGGCUCUCCAUGCACCGAGAAAGGAGAACGCCCGCGGCCGCAGCCCGUCCCUCCCGCUGCUCCCGGUAACGGCCGCUCACGCAGCCCGGGCUACUGCGCCGUACUGCCGCCUCCUCCCCUCACCGCCCUUGCAUAACGCGGCCCAGGCCGGCCCCGCUCCAACUGCGCUGCAAAACAUCUAUGUUCCCAGACAGAAGAAUAGCAGAGCUACUUAGAGCAGUUCCAUUACCCAAAAAAGCUGUCUCUAAGGUCUGUGGCAUUUGACAGACCCCCCUCAGGUUUGAUCUCACCAGAGAAACGGAACAAGCAAAACCUUCCGAAGUAGAAGCUGAAGUUUUAGAAGGUACUAACAGCUGCUAGACCUCCCUGCAUCUGUGCCAAGGGAAUUAAAAAGUUGGCUAAAAACGUAAAAUACAGAAAAUUAUACAUUUCUAAUGUAAAGAAUACUUGAGUAGCUUUAUCUGAAACAGAAAACAUUAAUUUCUUUCCAAGAAUUGUCAAAUAUUACUGUUUUAAAGUCCCUGCACUUCAGAAUGUCAAGAAUGUCAUUAUCCAUAUUCCUGGUGUUCUGCCAGUAGGAGAUCUGGCAAAGGACUCUGAUGUGCUCUUUUUAAUUCAAGGCCCUCUGCUGCAAAGAUCUCCCACAGAGAAGUAUUUAUAAACCAUGUAUCUCCUCCUCCUCCACAAAAAUAUUGCCAGACCUUCAUGCUCUUGCCUUACAAAUAUUCAUUAUUUUCUUCUGCCUUUGCAAGGCACACAACUGACUGAGGCUCGUUUGGACUCGAGGAGCAGUAGUGCUCCUCACGUGAAGAUUCAAGAAUGGUUUCAGUGUCAUUUCAUCCUGUGUCACUGUCCCAGCAGAAGGGUCAGCCCCUUUCUUGCUGCUUUUGGAUUCUGCUUUGCUUCAUACCUGGUUCUGGCAUGAAGGCUCUGCUCCUCUCCUGUUACAUCCCAUGUCUCUGGGAUAUCAUCUGAUUUUUAACACAAUCCCUCUCACUUUAUUUUUUUUUCUUCCUUAUGCGCUGAUACCUUAAUUUUUGGAUAGCAGAGUUUUCCAAACAGAAAAUUUAUCAUUGCAAAAUUGAAUUAAGAGUCCUCAUAAGAAAAGGCAAAUAUGUUACGACCAAUUUCACCCUCAUCUCAAAGCUGAAUUGUUAGCAAAUUUAAAAAAAAAAAAAGUACCAUCCCUGAGCCAGGAAGCAAAGGGGAAAGAUAAAACAUGACAGUGAGGAUACCAGUAAAGGUGUAAAAUGAUGCAAUGAGACAGACAGUGAACUUACGUGCUAACAGCGAGAAGCUGUGAAAAUAUUUGUUAAGUUUGCAUGUAAUUUAUAACAUGCUAUCUUUUCUUUGGAGACCAAGAGUGCAAUCUUUGAACUGAGGAAUUAACAAGUGGCUCCCUCUACAGAUAUGAGAAUGCUAUCAGUACUUGUAUUUCCAGAAACUUUUAAAUGGUUUUAUCACCAUCAGAGGCACAGUAAAAUUAAAGAAUCAAAACAUACAGAGUUUGAAUUUAUCUUCCAAAUUUGUUUUAAAGAGUGGGGGGAGGGGUCUAUGCCUAAAAGCUUUCCUCUUAAAGUUAAUAAAUUGAAGACUAAAUAUUUCAAAUAAUGCUUGUUCAUUCAGUAGCUAGGCAGCAGAACUAGCUUACUUUGGGCUUGAACCACAGUACAGACAAAAAAUGAAUUAGUCUAUUCCAGCACAAAUCUGGUAUUAUUGGAGAAUAGUUUCUAUUUUUUUAUUAAAAACUUAACUUUUUUUUUUUUUUUUAGUUUUCAGUGCAUGGAAAAAAACAUUCCUUAAACUACUAAAAUUCAAGUGAAGACUGAGAAAAGGGAAACAACGUAUUCAAAAAAUGUCUCAUGUUCAAAACAAGUUACCUUUUAACUGCCAUUAAAAAUUAUAUAAUGCAACCUUGCAGAAUUUAGAUAUAAAUGCAAACAGCAAAACUUGGCUUAUUGCACACAGCUCUGAAACUUCAACAGUACAAUGGAACACCAUUCAUAAACAAGUUCAUACACAGAAAGAUAAAAAAUGCUCAUAUCUAAAAUCCAUCUUUUUUUUUUUUAAAUUCAUCAUUAUUAUUUUUGCUUGAGCAAUACAGUAUUUUAGUGUGUCCGUAGAAUUACUUCCCAAUAUAGAUGCACAGAAUUGAGCACAGUAAAAAUACUUUGGAUGUGGCUGCCAGGGCCUUGGGUUCAUAUUUUUUGAUAAAAGGAAGAAAUUGAACAUUGAGAGAUGCAUCUGGUUUUGUAACCAUACUCCUCCUGAUAACAGAAUCCGCUACCAAAGUCUCCACAGUUUCACACAGCACAGUAGGUAGUGUUUGAACUUGCAAGGUAAUUAUUAUUUUAAAUAUCAUUUAUUAGAAUAACAGGACAUGUGCAUGAAUUGCAGUGGAGCUACAAGCGUCCUAAAAAUCAGAACCAUUCAGAACGUAAAUCAGACCCAGAUCUAAAGAUGGCACUGGAUGCAGCUACAGAAAUAAUCCAGUGAGAAAGGCAUUCGUAGCAAACGCAGUCCAUGAGCUUGUGAAACAGAAGAAAACACUGUCAGAAUUAGAAAGACAAUGCAUGAUUCACUGUUUCUCAUGGAACUUUCUCAGGCACUUUCUCUGCUGUUGCAAAGGGCAUUUCAGAAAUGCUCUUCCAAAAACCUAACUGCCCUAAUAUGGCACUGACAGAAAAAUGAAAAGCAGCACCACCAGCACUGAAUACUAGGACUUAUUUGUAGCUUUUCUUACAAUGUGAGUAAGACCACCUAUAUUACAUAAAGUCAAUCUUAAAAUGUAGAGAACAAACUUCUUUUGACAGUAAACUCUUGAAUUUACCACAAAUCUCAUACCCAUAACCAGAAGACAGUCUGAAGAGUUUAUCCUGAAGAUGAUUCUAUAAAAUAUUAAGGGAUGGAAGAGGACAAAUUUGCACCGCUCAUUCAUAGGAAAUAGUUCCUGUUAUUUGCCAUUCAAAACAAUGCUUCUAAUUAAGAUUUUUUUUUUUAAUUAGCACAGAAAGGGAGAAAAAUGUGAUCAUUAUCAAAACAUUUCCAUUUUGGUUCUGUCCUGGGGGAGUGCUGGGAAGUCAUGUGUGUCUCUAUGGACUGUAAACCAGGAACAGCCAGUGGAGCUAGAGUGACACUGAAAUGUAGAACUUAUAUGUAAUUUGAUUAAGUGCAGCUGUGUGGUUAUGUUUCCUUCAGCAAAGGUUGAAUAGCACAAUGUGUGCUUUAAGAACAGAAUUUAGAGAAAGAGAUGAAGAUUGCAAUAUACACAUAUUCUCACAUUGGCACCUAAAAAUAAAAAUGUAUGAGGCCAGGAUACAUGAGUGAAAAAACUGUGCUCAGACAUGAACACAGCUCUAGAUGAUUUAGGGGGCCUAUAGUUAACACCAGUCCAAACAUAACAAAUAGAGAAGCCAUUUCCCUUUAAAACCAAGCACAAACAAAGUCCCCAGACCACAUUGGGGUUCUGUCUACACUUGAAUAAGUAACCGUGACUUUGAAGUAAUUCAUCUAUUCUUGAUUAAAUCCAAACAUGAAUAUUUAUUUUGGAAUAAGAACAUAAUACUUAACAUUUUUCAGGCGUAGCUCAAUCACUCAGGACAAGAAAAACAAACCCCCAGAUCUCAGCUUUCAGUUGUGGCAAAGCAAUUUAUACCAAUAGAGGUCUUCCCGCAUGGGGAUGUAAAAAUAUUGAAUCCCAUCUCCUUCAACAGAUUUCUACAGUGUUUACAUAGUAUUAAAUCAUAGACAUAACAGGAAACGCAUUCUGUAAAAAACAGAAGAGUUCUGACACCCCUUGCUUUGUGUGUAGGCUGCUCAGCAUAGCGGCGUACCUGCAGCUUACCACCUCAGUUUAGCACUGGCAUGAUGACACCCUGUUGGGGCCAUCAGUGCAGACAGAAUGGUGGAUGGAAGCUCACUUAAAACACAUCUAUUGCAGUGCUGCCCUGCGCGUGGCUGAGGGGGGGUGGGGGUGCCUUGUGCUCCACCAUCCCCUGCCAGUUUCCUACCAAUCUUGCAUCUGUGUCUGCUGCCCAGACUGCCACACAAGCUUGCAAAGCCUUCUGCUAAGCAGAAUAUCAGCCUUUCUUUCUGCUUCCUCACCUCCUUUUUCCCAUCCUCCUCACAACAGCUCACCUAAAGUGAAACAAGAUGGACACCCUUUGAGGCUGCGCAGCAACAGGGCUACCUUGGAGCUAGCAGCAGUGAUAGCAGCUGAGGAAAAGCCCUCUUAUCAGCACUGCACAUUGCCUGCACAACAGAUACCGUGGUGGGAUAAGGAGGAUGGAUAGAGCAAGCUGUUACCGUGGUAAGGCCCUCAGGAGUAUGGCAUUCGGUGUGAGGUAUGUCAGGUCUUCCUUGUGCCACAGCAUCUCUCUUUGACAAGUGAGAAUGAUUGAACUGAACAUCUACAUGAAAAUUUUUAGUUGAUGAGAAAAAAAAAAAAUCAAAUAUUCUCUCUGUCAACUCUGUUAUGUCUCAGGAAUUAACUUCCUUGUUUUCCUUCUUUUGCACUCAUUAAAAUCUGAGAUUUCUCUCAGAUAUGAGAGAAAAAAAAAAAAAAAGGGAAUUACUUCAUAUAUGUUCUCCAAAAUGACCUUCAGUGUGCUCAUUCUCUGUGUUAGACAAAAGACCAGCUACAAUUAUUUUUGCUUACCAUCGAUCAACUUUGUUCUUUCACAGGAAAAAUAACAUAUGGUCCUCUACCCUAUACUCAGUGAGUUACCUGCUGCCACAGCAAACUGGUCAGUGGACAUACAUAAUGCCUCAGUAUGUGUUAAUGUCUGAAGGAAAACUUGGUUUUGCUCUGUUCCUUCCUAUAAGACUCUUCGUGAUGAUUUUACCUACUCAAUAGUAAGGUUUUCAUCAUAGGUUUUUUAAAUUUGUUUUUUCAUCGAAGAACAGCUUUCCCACCUAUCACAAUAUUUUUUUUUAAAUUCAGAUUUUUCUGUCAUCAUACAAUUCAGCAUUAGGAGAUAUGCUAGAAUUUAGCAAAAAAUACCAUAAUCUAGUUCACAUUUUCAAACUCAUAGGAUUUUUCUUCUAGGUACAGUCAACUCUUUUCCAAGAUGAUGGGAGAGGCUCUUGGAACACAAAAGGAAUUUGGGCCAGUAGGAAGAAAAAAAAAAAAAAAUACUGUCUUUGGUAAAAUGUUUUCUGGUAUCUCCUAUUUAGCGUUUGGGAUACCAGAAAACACUGUACCAAAGACAGUUAAUAUUAGCUAAGGUCAGCAGGAAUGACAAAUUCGGAUUCACUAUUGGUGCAAGACUUGCUUGCAAAACUACAUCACUCACUAUACACUUCUUUUACCAGCACAGAAACCAGUAACAAGUGUGAGCUAUGUGGGAACUGUAGCGUGGCAGAAAGAGUAGCCAGCUCCAAGAUCACAGAGUCUGCUGGUACUAAACUUGGCACGCUCAGAAUGCCAUGGGUAUCUAAACUGCAUUCUUUGCUACACAAGGCUUAGAGCCCAACUAAAUAACAGUUACAUGUUAUGACACAGACAACUACUUGAAUGUACUCAAGUAGUUGUGAUAUUUUAUUCUUUAGUACGGAGCUGGGUAAUUACAAUCAUAUAACAUAGUUUUUAUUACUUAUUGCUGGGUAUUUCAUUAUUAUUAAAUGAUUGCUGGUAAACUCGGGGCUAUUCUAUUCAGGCAGAAGUAGUUAUACCUACCUACAAUUCUGAAUAUCUUAGCCUGGAAAACAGGACAUUUCUGAGCAGGAUCAAAGAAAUACUCCUUUUACCUUCCAAUUUCAAUGGAAAUAUCUUAAAUUGAAAGCUGUACCAUCUCAGAAAAUCAAUUAAUUCUAAGCAUCACAAACGUUUCUAUUUAUAUUCAGACUUAGAAAGGGAUAAUUUUUCGUUUGGACUUUACCUUUUGCUUUGCUCGUUUCAUUCUAAGAAUUUUAUACGCUAAAUAAAGGAGCAUCACAGACAAACUUUCAUGCAUAGAAAAGCAGAUUUUUUUUUUUUCCCCAUUAAAAAAUCCUAACAAAAAAAAAUUGUUUUGAUGAGCUUUCAGUGAUGGUGGUUCCAACAAGGCUUUCUCAGCUCUUCUUGAUGCAGUCCAGUUCUGUUGCGCACUGAGAGAGGAUUUUGUGGCUGUUCAUAGAGCAAGCAAGCUCGUAGGGAAUCAGGAACAAGUGAAAACAAAACAGAAAAACAGUGAUGAUUUUGUUCAAAGCAUAGAUGAGAUGCAAUCACGUGUUCUUUUACCAUAGACAUAAUAUUGCAAAAGCUCCAUCCACUUUCUUCAAGGAAUAUUGAGACCAUAGUGACAAUGGUUGGAGCUGGUGCCUAAAACUCAAACCUGGAGGCAGAACAGAACCUAAAAAAAAAAAAAUAAAAAAAUAGAAAACAACCUGUGGCCUCACUGGGAUUCAUUUCACAAGAAUGUCAGAUUAGACAGCUUGCUUUAAUAUCCAUAAAUGCCACAGAAACCAGUUGUCUAGUCUGUACUCCUGGGAAAAAGCAGUUAGAUGACAGGUUUUAGAGCUACUAUUCCCAGCAAUGCUUCUUACAUCAUGCAAAAGUAAUCAACUACUACUCUGCUGAGACUUGACACUACAUUCCUCUUAAAUUCUUUUCAAAUUGGAUGUUUAGCUCAGAAAAGAGCAGUGCAUUAGCAUUUACUGGUAUUAAUGCAGCCCUUCAAUCCAUCGAUAGCUAGUGAAGAGUUUACUCUUCCCUGUCUCUCCCUCGCUGGAUGUAGUCAACGCGGUGCUUAUCUUCAGCUGUCUGUGCAGUCAUACUCUUAUCUUCAUCUUCUUCAUUCCUUGUGAGAGUUGAAAAUAAAAAUGUAUUUUUUUUUUUACUUGCACUUCCACUUUACAUGAUUAAUUUCAGUUUUGAGUAUACUACUAAGCAAAGAAGAUAUAGAAUAGUCUGUACUGGUCUUAGCUCAUUUUCCUAAUUUUCCUUAUUUAGCUUCAGUAGGGACAGAGUUGCUUUUCUUCACAGUGCCUGGUAUAAUACUGUUUUGGUUGUUUUGGUUUUAGGAAAAAAACAGUGUUGAUAGCACUGAUGUCUCUAAUUGUUGCUGAGCAGCUGUACAGUCAAGGAUGUUUCAGUUUUCUCUGCCUCUCAUGCUGACAUCUUGCAGAAUGAAAGUUUGGAAAACUGGGGGAGUUGAACUGAGUGACCUGCUGCUGCUCAGGGACCAUCUGCUAACUUGAGACCAGUGCGGAAUUUUCCAGAUGAUUUCAGAAGAUUUUCUGGUUGUUCAAACUCCCCUACUUUCUCAGUUAAGUGACUCUCCUUAAAAUCAACAAUUGCCUACUAUGAACGAUGCAGAGUUUGACCACCAGAAGUUCUCCUGGAUGAACUAUGUACCUAGAGACUUUUCUCUUAGUUGCCUGCAAAAGCAAGUCAACUUCUGUUAACUUUGCAACAGAGCUCUCACUGAAAUUACCUCUGACUGUGAGGCUUUAAAUAUUGAGACAGAACAAUGAUAAUUCCCUGCUUUAAAAUGGCACACAUCAGUCAUCAAAGCUUGACAGCUGCCGAGUAAGAAAUACUGCAGAAUCAAUUUUCAUUCUGUAAAGUCUCGUUAUCAAGAAGGAUCUCAUCUACCAACUAAGGUAUACUUGGUUUUAGAUUCCAUCAACUAUCCUGUUAAUUUUUUUUUCCUGAUAUUAAUAUUUGGACUUCAUAAAUCUGAGCUGUUUUAAAAAUUAGUGAAAGUUCUACCAAAGCAAGAAAGUUUAAUCUUAAAGGGCUUUAGAGCAAAUAUUUCCAAGAAUAACACAAUCACCUAGCAAUUAAAAUCAAAGCCAAAGACCUUCCUUAUUCUACAUAUAGUCAACUUUAAACCAUUUACUCAUUUUUUUCUUUAAAAAUAAAUUCUACAUUAAUUGUUUUUAUGAUAUAGUAAGUCUGAACUGCAUUAUUAUAGUUAGAGUUGUAAACUGGUAUAAACGUCAUACAUAGAAUCAGCUACAAUCUUGUGAAUAGUAACUUAAGGCUGUCAUAAAUAUGAAUGCUGUUGUGAAAUUGAGAAUGAAAACUAUCAAAACUGCUAUGUAUUUGAAAUUAAACUGGCUGUCAAUUGCACACAAUCUUUCAUUAUUAAACCUUACCCUACCUUA